UACGAAGGGGGCUAGCGUUGUUCGGAAUUACUGGGCGUAAAGCGUGCGCAGGCGGUCUUGCAAGACAGAUGUGAAAUCCCCGGGCUUAACCUGGGAACUGCAUUUGUGACUGCAAGGCUGGAGUACGGUAGAGGGGGAUGGAAUUCCGCGUGUAGCAGUGAAAUGCGUAGAUAUGCGGAGGAACACCGAUGGCGAAGGCAAUCCCCUGGACCUGUACUGACGCUCAUGCACGAAAGCGUGGGGAGCAAACAGG
rnacentral:rRNA from 1 species